rnacentral:lncRNA from 1 species
CCUGACAAAACGAUGAUGCUUCCCCCCUGCAUGAUUGCAUCAUUCAUUCAUGCUGCUGUUAUAAAACAGGCACCACGCCGUUGCUGCUGCUUGCAGGGCAGCACAGUCACAGCCCCAGCAGAAGAUACUCUUCAUUUUCUAUGCUAGAGAAACAUGAAGUUCUCAGCACACGAGCAUCAUUAGUAACUUGUUGUCCCAGGAAAAGCUGGUACCAAGCCCCUUUGCUGCAAAACUGGUGACGUGGUUCACCGUUCAGCCUGGCCCCGUUUGUUAGUUUUAUCAUGACAGGACGGCAUGUGGUCCAGGAAAGAAACACAGGGAGUUCUGCCUGGAAACUUCCCAAGGAUGUUGAGGAGUGAAAAGCAAAGCCCACGUGGACGUGUGACUAUCGGCACAAGCACAGCAGCUGUAUUAAUAAUUCCCCUCACCUGAAGCUGCUUGGGGAACAGCCACAUCACAUCAUGCGUGUUGAGGACGGAUAAUUCCUGCAUUUCCACAGAACAUCACCUACGAGGGUCACAGAACAGCAGCGAGGAAAACUUAAUGAAAUAAAUCAUGCCCGCUGGUAUGUAUAUGGGUUUGACAAGGCUGCCCUCUGCUGAGAACAGCUCCAGGCCAGGAUCGAGGCAAAAAAAACACAAACCAGAGAAGCAAGAAUAGCAAAAUAAUUGUGAGUGACCUGUUGGCUGCAGAACGCGGGGCAGAGCUGGGCAUUCGGGUGUUUUAACUGGGCUUUGCAUGUAGGCACCUCAAAUAUCAGCACUGCAGCCUCUCAGGGCUGGGUUGGCGUGUUUGGGUUUGUUAUGUCCUCAGCAGACCGGCAGCAUCUCAACAAAAGUGAAAAUAUUAACAGGAGAGUCCCAGGGCCAAUUAUGAAAUGUCAAGUGUAAUUUCCUGCCUUUUGCAAUGUUUGAUGUUUAUUUCUAAUUAUGACAGUAACAGAACAGAAAGCCCAGCCAUUGUACUAAAAUAUUUCACAGGACAUAUGCGCUGCUACGCUAAACAAAAGAGCUCCAAACUUGUGCUGUAUUACACUCAAACACUAACUCCAUCUAAAACAUUUAAAAGCCAGAAAGCCAAGCAUAUUAGCAGUUGUCCCCUCCAGUCCUGCCAUGUGAGAUGGACAGGCCGUGCAUGGCCGUCCUGCACAGCGUGGCGUUUUGCCCAGAAACCUGAGAUCCUCACCCAAAGCAGCAGAACAGAUUCCCAGCAGGUGCCACAGCCAAGUGCCAAAACCGCACGGCCCUGGGAGAGCUGGUCCCUCCGGCUGUGAGCCCCGCCGGCAGCUU